CGUCCGGUCUGCAUCACCCUGUGGGUUCAGCUUUGCCUUCCACUCUCCGGACUCCCCGUAUCCUGUUCCAGUCCCACUUUCUCUUUCGUUAGCUGCCUGGACUUCUGCUCUUUGUUCAGAGAAUCCUGCCUGACUCACUGUCCAUCCUCUGAGGGACCACUCCUACCUAGGACCCCACCCUCCAAUUUACCCGGUACCCCCAGCUUGUGUCUGCACACAGAUACCCUCUGUCAGUACUUGAGGAAAGAAUAAGGAAGCCUGACAGUGGAUGUGUGACACUCCAUGAGGAGGAAAUGCACAGACCGAGAAGAGGAGUGAGUUGUGAGAAAGGAGCAGACACCAGGAACCACUCAUUGCAUCAUGCACUUUUGGUUUGGUUUAUACCACUUCCGUUGGCACAGACUUGUGGCUUCGAGGAGGCCUCUGGGAAGGAUGAAUAAAGCAUCUUUACUGUAAAUUACUCAGCAGUGAAAUACCCCAUCUAACCACCUCCAUCCCUGUGGGUUGUAUCGGGUAACCGGCAGAAGAUUGUGGAAAUGAUCGCUGACUCGCGCUUUCUGAAUCAAGCUAUCGACAUAUUCAGGAAACUGAACUCUCCACCCCCCAAUCUCCAUCAGGCUGGCCAGAUAGAAGCUCGUUCCAGAAUAAUGAAAUCUCAGCUUGACGGAUCAUCUCCUCCCUUUGCCCAUCUCAAGUCCCCUUUGGCCAGCUCUGCACACCUCUAGAUGUGGGCAGUUUUUCCUCGUGGUGGUCAUGGCUGCCCUGAGAACAGUAUUCUGUCCUUUCCUGAUCAUCGUCGUCAUCACCAGCAUCAGAUCACGGCCAGUCUCUCCUGCUUGGAUGGGGCAUAGUCUCACAUGGCCGACUUCAUUCUUCAUUCUCCAGCCUAUGAAGAACCUGUGAGACCCCACUUAGGGGUCACAGUAUUUCUGCCCGCCGUCCUAACUGUCCCCCAUGUAAGUCAAUGGGUCUUUCCUGUCUCAGAUCUUUCUACAUUGCACCACUGUCCUCCACAGCAGUUGACUCUGGGGCUUUUCUCCCCACCUGGAUAUUCAGUGUAAAGCUUGCUUCAGCCCAUCCUUUGGCAAACACAUUCUUGUUCCUAGCCUAUGAGCUCCACUUCAAGCUAAGAACCUCUUUCUUCUGGGAUCUUAAGAUGUGCAGGAUGUAGCAAGUCAAAAUCCAAACAAUCACCCAUUCGCCUCCCUCAUCUCUCUCAGCUGUCCCCACAUCCACAGGAAGAAGCCAGGGAACUUCCCACUCCGCUUCCUCCCGUGUUGGGCCCAGGACUCAGCAGUCUCCAUUGGUGCCACAGGAUCAGUGGCCACUGGGCGGACAGUAUCAACAGGCAUGAGGAGGAGUGGCGAGU